GCUGAGUUGGAGGCCAGCCAGGGUGACAGAGCAAGAUCCUGACCAGGAAAAGAAGUAAUAAAACUGGUUAGCUGAACCGUUGUUGGAGACGGUACCUUGCUGUACAGCCCUGGCUGGCCUGGCACUCAGGCUAGGCUAGCUUUGAACUUACAGUGCUGGGGAGAUCAUGACAGCUGGACAUUUGCAGCCUGCUUGCUGAUCUUGGCUGAUGACGCUUUUCUCGUGGCUUAAAGGUUCUCUCCCACUGAGCUACAUCCCCUCUGUACCCCCAACUCCUGAUUGAGUUUUGGAAGCCAUCGCCGGAUUUCUCUGUCCAGACCUCUGGCUCUAGCCUCGCUAACAGUGUCCGAGCUGGAAGCCGGCGAUCUGGAAAUCUAGGUUCAGCACUCCCAGCACAGCCCCCACACUGGACACAAGUUUCCCGGUGCUCGCCGCAGUCCCGGCCACCGCGUCGGCCCGCUCGCCGCGUUCCAAGCGCUCUCAGACCCCUCCCUCACCGCUCUCCUCCUAAGGAAACUUGACCCUCGCCAGCCGCCGUCGCCAAGCCCCGACUUACUCGCUCUUGUCCAGCUGCUCGCCAGGCUCAAACUCCGCACGCCGUUACCCGGGCUCAGGGGGCGGGGCUUCGGCACGACCCAGGGCGCCUGCGCAGACCGCCCUGCAAUCCUUAAAGAGGAGGGUGGGGAAGGAGCCCCGCGUCUAUAGGACUGGAC
rnacentral:lncRNA from 1 species